AUCCAGCUGACGAGUCCUGGAUAAGAUGAAACGCGUGUCUUGGAU
rfam:Schistosoma haematobium scaffold697_18, whole genome shotgun sequence.